rnacentral:rRNA from 1 species
GACGAACGCUGGCGGCGUGCUUAACACAUGCAAGUCGAACGGUAAGGCCCUUCGGGGUACACGAGUGGCGAACGGGUGAGUAACACGUGGGUGAUCUGCCCUGCACUUCGGGAUAAGCCUGGGAAACUGGGUCUAAUACCGGAUAGGACCACUGCCUGCAUGGGUGGUGGUGGAAAGCUUUUGCGGUGUGGGAUGGGCCCGCGGCCUAUCAGCUUGUUGGUGGGGUGAUGGCCUACCAAGGCGACGACGGGUAGCCGGCCUGGGAGGGGGACCGGCCACACUGGGACUGAGAUACGGCCCAGACUGCUACGGGAGGCAGCAGUGGGGAAUAUUGCGCAAUGGGCGCGGGCCUGAUGCAGCGACGCCGCGUGAGGGAUGACGGCCUUCGGGUUGUAAACCUCUUUCAGCACCGACGAAGCGCAAGUGACGGUAGGUGCAGAAGAAGGACCGGCCAACUACGUGCCAGCCGCCGCCGUAA